rnacentral:SRP_RNA from 1 species
GCUGGGUGUGGUGGUGCAUGCCUGUAAUCCUUGCUACUCAGGAGGCUGAGGCAGGAGAAUCACUUGAACCCAGGAGGCGGAGGUUGCAGUGAGCUGAGAUGGCGCCACUGCACUCCAGCCUGGGUGACAGAGCGGGACUCUGUCUCAA